GUGUCAGCCGCCGCGGUAAUACGUAGGUGGCAAGCGUUAUCCGGAAUUACUGGGUGUAAAGGGUGUGUAGGCGGGGAUGCAAGUCAGAUGUGAAAAUUACAGGCUUAACCUGUAACCUGCAUUUGAAACUGCGUUUCUUGAGUGUCGGAGAGGUAAAUGGAAUUCCUGGUGUAGCGGUGAAAUGCGUAGAUAUCAGGAGGAACACCGGUGGCGAAGGCGAUUUACUGGACGACAACUGACGCUGAAACACGAAAGCGUGGGGAGCAAACAGGAUUAGAUACCCUGGUAGUCCACGCUGUAAACGAUGAACACUAGGUGUAGGCAAGAAAUUGUCUGUGCCGCAGUUAACACAAUAAGUGUUCCACCUGGGGAGUACGGCCGCAAGGUUGAAACUUAAAUAAAUUGACGG
rnacentral:rRNA from 1 species